AUCGCUUCUCGGCCUAUUAGGGCUAAGAUCAAGUGUAGUAUCUGUUCUUAUCGGUUUAACAGCUGAUAUGUUCUCUAUGUGAGAACUACUUGUUAAAUGGAUUUUUGAAAAAAGGAGUAGGAAAUAGAGCUUGCUCUGUUCUCUCCACGCAUUGGCCUGGUAUUGCAGUGUUUCCAGGAACAGUGCAUCUCCC
rnacentral:snRNA from 1 species